UAUGGGCCCGCGGAUCACUCCUUUUCGCACCUUUUCCUUGAUGAACUUUCGAUCAAGCUUGAGUCCUGUUCUCUCCCGACGGUGAUUGGGGGAGACUUUAAUCUUCUGCGAUGCCCUCUUGACAAGAAUAAUGAUAAUUUUUCCUGGUCUUUAGCCAAUGCUUUUAACGACUUUAUUAGUGUCAACGCCAUUCGGGAGCUUCCUCGGGGGGGAGCCCGCUUUACUUGGUCUAAUCAUCAGGCGAACCCUAUCAGAUCCGUGCUUGAUCGUGUCUUCCUAUGUCCCAGUUGGGAUGCCUUGUUUCCUAGGUCCUCUCUUGUAGCUAAAUGUAUUGUGGGGUCAGACCACACCCCCUUGAUUCUGGAUGAUGGUUCCAUUCGCAAUAGACCUCCGACUAGAUUUCAGUUUGAUGCUUCUUGGCUGUCUGUUGAUGGCUUUGUUGACAUG
rnacentral:rRNA from 1 species